UACGUAGGGUGCGAGCGUUGUCCGGAAUUAUUGGGCGUAAAGAGCUCGUAGGCGGUCUGUCGCGUCUGCUGUGAAAACCCGAGGCUCAACCUCGGGCCUGCAGUGGGUACGGGCAGACUAGAGUAUGGCAGGGGAGACUGGAAUUCCUGGUGUAGCGGUGAAAUGCGCAGAUAUCAGGAGGAACACCGGUGGCGAAGGCGGGUCUCUGGGCCAAAACUGACGCUGAGGAGCGAAAGCGUGGGGAGCGAACAGG
rnacentral:rRNA from 1 species